rnacentral:rRNA from 1 species
CCUACGGGUGGCAGCAGUGAGGAAUAUUGGUCAAUGGCCGUAAGUCUGAACCAGCCAUGUCGCGUGCAGGAAGACUGCCCUAUGAGUUGUAAACCGCUUUUGUACGGGGGUAAACGUGUACACGCGUGUCUGUUUGAAGGUACCGCAUGAAUAAGGACCGGCUAAUUCCGUGCCAGCAGCCGCGGUAAUACGGAGGGUUCAAGCGUUAUCCGGAUUUAUUGGGUUUAAAGGGUGCGUAGGCGGUCCGUUAAGUGUGAGGUGAAAUCUUGUGGCUCAACUACGGGAGUGCGGCGGGAACUGGUGAGCUGGAGUGUGCGUACGGCAGGCGGAAUGUGUGGUGUAGCGGUGAAAUGCUUAGAGAUCAUGCAGAACACCGAUUGCGAAGGCAGCUUGCC